GAGGGUAUAGUCAGGGGUAGAGCAUGUGCUUGUCAUGCACGAGGUCCUGGGUUCAAUCCCCAGUACCGCCA
rnacentral:tRNA from 1 species